GGUGAGGAAACUGCCACUCAAAGGAAACCUGGUCACCAGCUAACUCCUGAGCACAGGCUGUCUCCCUUGCUGUCUGAUUGGCUGAGAGCUCUGCCAGUCACACUCCAAGCAGGAAUGCUGGGCUAGCAAGUCUGUAUAAAAGCACCAGUCUCCCACUGCAGCAGGGAGAUUGCGGUGCCAGGGCUCUGGCUCAGGGAACUGUUUUUCAGGAUGAAGACAAAAGGUUGUAAGACUGGAAUUUCCCAAGGGAUGAACAUUCAAUUUUGUGAAGAAGCUCUAAUAAAAAUGGGUGUAUGGACAUACCUCCUGCACAAACAUCCAGAUAUGAUAAA